UACGUAGGAGACAAGCGUUGUCCGGAAUUACUGGGCGUAAAGCGCGUGUAGGUGGUAGGCCAAGUCUGCUGUGAAAUCGCCCGGCUCAACUGGGCGCGGUCGGUGGAAACUGGUCAACUGGAGGACGGUAGAGGCGAGUGGAAUUCCCGGUGUAGUGGUGAAAUGCGUAGAGAUCGGGAGGAACACCAGUGGCGAAGGCGGCUCGCUGGGCCGGUCCUGACACUGAGACGCGAAGGCGUGGGGAGCGAACGGG
rnacentral:rRNA from 1 species